UACGUAGGGGGCUAGCGUUGUUCGGAAUCACUGGGCGUAAAGCGCACGUAGGCGGAUUUGUCAGUCAGGGGUGAAAUCCCGGGGCUCAACCUCGGAACUGCCUUUGAUACAGCAAGUCUUGAGUUCGAGAGAGGUGGGUGGAAUUCCUAGUGUAGAGGUGAAAUUCGUAGAUAUUAGGAAGAACACCGGUGGCGAAGGCGGCCCACUGGCUCGAUACUGACGCUGAGGUGCGAAAGCGUGGGGAGCAAACAGG
rnacentral:rRNA from 1 species